CCCCGCUGCGACUGGUCCAGGGGCUGGCAAGGGAGGAGUCGGGGUCACGCCCAGAGCUCCUCUUCUGCCCCUCGGGGUCCAGCCGUCUGGAGCUUCAGUGGGCGGCUGAGGGUUCCCCCUCCCUUCAGCGGCCCGGGCCUGGCCAGGGACCCGCCAAGGCCGGGACCGCGACCAAGACCGUGACCGCGACCGGAGUCCCCAGCACCGCGCGUCCAAACUUGGUCACGCUGCCGGGCUUGAGGACUCUCGGCCGCCAGGGGUCGCAGAAGAGGGGAGGGGGACGAGGAGCGAGGCGCGAACUGGCUCCCCUCACCACGCCCCAUUACCUCGCAGCCACCGGGCCCCACAAAUACUGUGGAUCCACUCCCAGCCCCGCAACCCCGCAACCCCGCAACCCCGCGCAGGGAAGCUGGACCCGGGAGAGUGGCGUCUCCCUCCCCUUGGCAGUGGUCGUGGCCGGUUAAGCGUCGCGGAGUCAGUUUCCCUCCUCCCACCACUUUCUGGCUUUGGCCAGGCGCGCCCACCCGGCCCUGCACCUUCUCCAGGGCGUCACUCUUGAGUCCCCCGAGGCCCACCCUUGCAGGACAGACGCCGCCUCGGCUCGGAGGCCACCCUCCGACCCUGUUGGGAGAAGGGGGAAUGCUGAGGGCCACCUCUGGGCACGCCCACCCGCGGCUCUAAGCGGCUCUGCAGCCCGGGGAAAGGCUGAGAUGCAGGUGGCCUAAGAAAGGGGACGAAGUGCCCAGAGAGCCGGGGCCAGGGGUAGGAGGCUGGGCAGAGUCUGAGGCCUGGCUGGAGAGAGGGGGAGGGAGGAAGGCGGGAGCUCGCCUCCAGGCCAAAGAGCCUCAGAGCCUCGUUAGAGUGAUCCUGCUCUUUCCCAACUCCCACCUCUGCACUUUAAGUAGGGCAGGGGUGGUUCCUGUGAUUCCUGGUGAUUCCACUCAUUGCUGUAGAAAAGCCUGGCUGCAAAAGGGGCUGUGACCAGCUGCUGUCUCGAGGGGUCCCGAGCCCCCUCCUCCGAUCACGGAUGGUGACUCCGAAGUUGUAAGGCCGGCAGAAGGUGGCAGUGGCUGGGCUGGACCAUGGCAGGAGAACUACCCGGCCUCCAAAUCAAGUCCGGCUGCAUUUGGGCCUUUAGCAGGGUGCCGCCUUGCCCUCGGCUGCCCCACCGGGUCGGGUCAGAGCAUCCCUGGC
rnacentral:lncRNA from 1 species